rnacentral:rRNA from 1 species
UACGUAGGGUGCGAGCGUUGUCCGGAAUUAUUGGGCGUAAAGAGCUUGUAGGCGGUUUGUCGCGUCUGCUGUGAAAAUCCGGGGCUCAACCCCGGACUUGCAGUGGGUACGGGCAGACUAGAGUGUGGUAGGGGAGACUGGAAUUCCUGGUGUAGCGGUGAAAUGCGCAGAUAUCAGGAGGAACACCGGUGGCGAAGGCGGAUCUCUGGGCCUUACCUGACGCUGAGACGCGAAAGCUAGGGGAGCGAACAGG